rnacentral:rRNA from 1 species
UCCGUAGGGUGCGAGCGUUAAUCGGAAUUACUGGGCGUAAAGCGUGCGCAGGCGGUUUUGUAAGCCCGAUGUGAAAUCCCCGGGCUUAACCUGGGAAUGGCAUUUGGGACUGCAAGGCUGGAGUUUGGCAGAGGAGACUGGAAUUCCCGGUGUAGCAGUGAAAUGCGUAGAUAUCGGGAGGAAUACCGAUGGCGAAGGCAGGUCUCUGGGCUAUAACUGACGCUCAUGCACGAAAGCGUGGGGAGCAAACAGG